rnacentral:rRNA from 1 species
AGCGAACGCUGGCGGCAGGCCUAACACAUGCAAGUCGAACGAAGUCUUCGGACUUAGUGGCGGGCGGGUGAGUAACACGUGGGAACGUGCCUUUAGGUUCGGAAUAACUCAGGGAAACUCGUGCUAAUACCGAAUGUGCCCUUCGGGGGAAAGAUUUAUCGCCUUUAGAGCGGCCCGCGUCUGAUUAGCUAGUUGGUGAGGUAAAGGCUCACCAAGGCGACGAUCAGUAGCUGGUCUGAGAGGAUGAUCAGCCACAUUGGGACUGAGACACGGCCCAAACUCCUACGGGAGGCAGCAGUGGGGAAUCUUGCGCAAUGGGCGAAAGCCUGACGCAGCCAUGCCGCGUGAAUGAUGAAGGUCUUAGGAUUGUAAAAUUCUUUCACCGGGGACGAUAAUGACGGUACCCGGAGAAGAAGCCCCGGCUAACUUCGUGCCAGCCGCCGCGGUAAUAC